rnacentral:sRNA from 1 species
AAAAAAAAUAUCAAUGGAAAAACAUUCCUAACAAUUUCUCUUCAUUUUCAGUCUGUAAUUAUUGGAUCGAGUAAAAAGUAUCUCAAAACUUAAGAGUAUCCAACCAAAUUAAACUCGACUAGUAUAGUAUUUUUAAACUACUAUAAUCAAAAGCAAAAAUAAUAAUAAGAUAAUGUCUAGUAUAUUAUUAUUAUUAAGGAACCGAAACAUACAAUCUGCAUAGUCGGAUGUUGCUUGAAUCUUUCCCGCAACAAAGUUCAUAAUAGUUUGAAAAAAACAGUUAAAAGCAGCCCACAUUUCCGGCGACGAAGUCGGAUAUACUCUUCCUCUUCAGUCCCAUGACGAGAGAAGUUUGUUACAAGUGACGAUAAAAAAUAUUCCACUUAAGCAUCAUAAGACACAAAAGAUCUAAAUAGGAUCACUAAUUCUCGUCUAAGCUAUUUAACAUAACUCAAGCUUGUGCCUAUGUUGUAAUAACCAAUCUACGUCUAAGUAGAAUCAUGCCAAUAUACUAUUUUAUGAAAAAAAACUAGAGCACUAAAUAAAUAUUUGAUUU